AGUCGAACGGCAGCACGGAGCUUGCUCUGGUGGCGAGUGGCGAACGGGUGAGUAAUAUAUCGGAACGUACCCUGGAGUGGGGGAUAACGUAGCGAAAGUUACGCUAAUACCGCAUACGAUCUAAGGAUGAAAGUGGGGGAUCGCAAGACCUCAUGCUCGUGGAGCGGCCGAUAUCUGAUUAGCUAGUUGGUAGGGUAAAAGCCUACCAAGGCAUCGAUCAGUAGCUGGUCUGAGAGGACGACCAGCCACACUGGAACUGAGACACGGUCCAGACUCCUACGGGAGGCAGCAGUGGGGAAUUUUGGACAAUGGGCGCAAGCCUGAUCCAGCAAUGCCGCGUGAGUGAAGAAGGCCUUCGGGUUGUAAAGCUCUUUUGUCAGGGAAGAAACGGUGGGAGCUAAUAUCUCUUGCUAAUGACGGUACCUGAAGAAUAAGCACCGGCUAACUACGUGCCAGCAGCCGCGGUAAUACGUAGGGUGCAAGCGUUAAUCGGAAUUACUGGGCGUAAAGCGUGCGCAGGCGGUUUUGUAAGUCUGAUGUGAAAUCCCCGGGCUCAACCUGGGAAUUGCAUUGGAGACUGCAAGGCUAGAAUCUGGCAGAGGGGGGUAGAAUUCCACGUGUAGCAGUGAAAUGCGUAGAUAUGUGGAGGAACACCGAUGGCGAAGGCAGCCCCCUGGGUCAAGAUUGACGCUCAUGCACGAAAGCGUGGGGAGCAAACAGGAUUAGAUACCCUGGUAGUCCACGCCCUAAACGAUGUCUACUAGUUGUCGGGUCUUAAUUGACUUGGUAACGCAGCUAACGCGUGAAGUAGACCGCCUGGGGAGUACGGUCGCAAGAUUAAAACUCAAAGGAAUGACGG
rnacentral:rRNA from 1 species